GGUCCCUGGGCAAAGCAGGCGAGGGCGAGAGGGAGCAGAGACUGAGGGGACCCGCGGGAAGCCCAGGAGCUCGGGAGCACCUGGCACAGCGCAAGGAUCUUUGUAAACUGGACUAAAAAGACUUUUGGACGCCAACUGUCAUAAUGACACAUAAAGAAGUCAGGAGUAUGUGGCUCACACCACGCUGGUGUGUCUUCCUUUCAGAAUAAAUGUCCCUAAGAUGGAGCCAGAGACCAUGCUGGGGGCCCUGGCACUGAGGUACUUGAGUGAGGGGACAGAAAACCAAAGUACCAGCCCAGGCAUCCUCUGGGAUAAGGCUGUCUCAAAACGGAAUUUACACAUUGCCAAAGAUUACCGAACCACAUAAAACUUGUGGGAAUCCUCCACAGAGGAGCAGCUGUUUUGAUUUUCAACCUUCCCUGGGAAGAUGUGUGAUCACUCUAAAAUGAUGCAUACAGCAAGAAGGUUCUGAAUGCAAGGAAAUUAAACACCCUGUGGCGUGUGUCUGCUCAGGAAGACACACGUUCCCAGAGAUGUUCAAGAAGACAGAACAUGUGCGAGGAGUAAUGUGUUAUUUUUUAAAAGCCUUUGUAUUAUUGCUGAACACUAGACCGCAGACCUUUGAAGGAGUUAGGAAUCCCUUCCCCAAAAUUCUUAGAAGCUGGGCAUGGUGGCAAAUGCCUGUGAUCCCAGCGCUCAGGAGGCUGAGGCAAGAGGACUACUACAAGUUUGAGGCCAGCCUGGGCUGCAUAGUAAGUUUCAGGCCCUGUGUAUAGGAGACUAAAACGCAGAAGUAUGAGAUGCCACUGACGGCCACACCGGGGACUUAUGAUCAUGUCGAGGUACUCCGCUGCUCCAAAAGCAGCAGAAGCACACUAGCUACUUCUUACUCAUCUCCUGGAAAUUUCCCAAGGAAAUGCAGUGGAAAAGGAGGCAGACAGAAUGUUAAAACAGCUUCAAGAUGUUAACGUAAAUGACUAGUAGUUCUUUAAAACCUGAAAACAGCAUUGCCAUAUGACCCAGCAAUCCCACCUCUAGGCGGACACUCAUGAGCAUAGCAUAGAGCAAGGUCUCAGAUGAACGUGCACACCCACACUCACCGCAGCGGUAUGCAUAGUAGCCAGAAGGUGGAGGCCACCCAAGUGUGCAUCCACACAGGAUCAGCCGAUAAAUAAAACAGGGAAUAUGCAGACAGUGAUAUAUGCCAUGGGGGAGCCUUGAGAACGUGACACUGGGUGAAAUCAGCCAAAUGCAUGACAGCAAAUACUGUAGGAACCCCCCUUCCGGAAGAGACCUAAGCCAUGUAGCAUGGUGAACCGGCACAGAGUGGGCAGAGCGGGAGAGGGGAGUCGUCAGGUGGAAGCAGGUGUAAUCUCAGCGAUGCAGGAUGAGAAGAGUUCUGAGAUGGGCAGUGAGGAUGGCUGUACAGCAGUGUGAGUGUACUGCAUGGCACUGUGACUGUAUGCUUAAAAAUGGUUAUGCUGACGAAAUGCUUGCUACCUGCAUUUUACAGUAAAAAACACUUUUCUGCAAUGACUAUUGUAGUCAUGUAGGAGUGGUUGAGUCCAGUUACAUUAGAAACACCUGAGCAGGGCAGCACUUGCCGAUAACCUGUUUGGAGAGGUAUCUUUGAAGUAGGGCUGUGGUUACCUAGAUGUCAUCUACAACCCUGAAGUCAAACUGAAGCCCAGACACCAUCUUUAGAACUUCAGAGACAGAAUAAAUCUCCCUGAAGAUGAGGAUUUCAGCAGCUGUUUCACAAGUGUGUGUGACCAGCUCCACUUUGAGUCAAACAAAUUAUAAAGAAUACUGACGUACUGUGUUCACUAACAAAACACAGCACCUCGUAGAUUUCUAUCAUGAGGAUACCAGUAGUACAUGUUCUAGAAUUACCCUUUAACAACAUCAAUUUUGAAAUUAUAUCUAGGAAACUGAAUCAAAGCCUGUUACAUAUAAGAAAUCACUUCUAACUGAUGCCUCUGUUGAGAUUAACAACAUAGGAAAAGUUAGGUUAUAUUACAAAAGAAAUUAAACCUAGUAUCUUUGGUCCUCUGUGCAUAGAGUCUAUGUCCUUAAAUUCAAAUAGGAAAUAUUAAAAAAAAAAGUGCAUUAAACAUGCAGUCUUUCUCUUCUUGUCAUUAUUCCCUGAACAGUACAGUAUAGUUAUACUACUUGCAUGAUAUUUGCAUGGUGGGAGGCACUGUCAGUCACCCGGAGAUGAUUUUUUAAAGCUUAGGGGAGGAUAUUCACUGAGCAUCCCUGGACUUGUGUAUCCACAGAGAUUCUGGGAACGAAGGCCGAGCCCUAACACAGACGAAGGACACCAUGGAACUCAAGCUCUACCUCUUGGUGAUCUGGCUCGGCUCCUGCAGAUCGGGGUCCACGUCAAAGACCUCAUUGUCCAGCAGCCUCCGGAGUGUCACGUCCGCCAGCUGCUCCAUGAUCCUGAACACCUCGUCCAGGUUGAGAAACAUGGAGAAGUCGCGCUCCUUAUUCUGCGUGGUGAUCCGGAUGGUGUCCGUGAGGAAGACAUUGGACGUUCUUUCCAAUUUCUGGAUGUCAACCCAAGGGAUGACAAGUCUAACUGCAAGAGGAGAAGGGCUAAUGUAGUUUACAAGAUUGAGCCUUCCUGUGUGCAUCAGCAAGCAGCAGUCCAGAGCGUUCCUUAAACGGAACAAGCUGCUUGACAGCAGCUGGUGAACCCCAAUUUCAUGUCCCAGUGAUUCCCUCAGUGAUUUAAGUGAUACCUCCUAGGUGCUGGCUGUGGCACAUUCCCAAGGAAUGUCAUUCUGGAAUAACAUGCCAACAGCACACAAACCCUCCCAAAGAUAUUUAAACAGCGACGCGAAAGUUUCUCAGUCCACAACAAAUUCUGGUUUUGAAAACAGCAUUCAUGGCACAGGCUAGAGGAAAAAGGAGUGUGAGAGACUUAUUUAUGAUCUCAUUGUCAGAAAUGCGCUGAACCCAAACCAUUAGAUGACAGGUUUAGGCCAAGAAGACAGUAUAAGUAGUUUUCCCAAAUGUUCUGAAGUAAUGCAGUAUUGCUGGGCACAGUGCACACACUUGUAAUCCCUGCUACUCAGAAGGCUGAAGCAAGAGGAUGCUGGAGCCCAGGAGUACAGAGCCACCCUGGGCAAAACAGUGAGACCCUAUCUCUUUUUGUAAAAUGCAAUACAUUACAAAUAAAACAGGUGUUCUACCAUCAA